rnacentral:lncRNA from 1 species
UCUGCGCGGAGCAUGGAAGGCCCGAAUGGCACGACCAACUUUCGCGGCUUACGAUUGUCAGGAACCUCUGCGCGGAGCAUGGAGGGCCCGGAUGGCACAACCAACUUUCGCGGCUUACGAUUGUCAGCAACCUCUGCGCGGAGCAUGGAGGGCCCGGGUGGCACAACCAACUUUCGCGGCUUACGAUUGUCAGGAACCCCUCUGUUCUGGUUGAGCGUGACCCCUCUGCUCUGGUGGAGCGUAAUUCCUCUGGUUUGCCCUAGUCUUGCUGAGAAGCAAUUUUUGAAUUUGAAAAUUGGGGACUACGGGUAUACACCCUACUCCCCCCUCUGGUGACAUGUGCAAUACUCUGUUAUGAACAUGUUAAGUGUGUGUGUGUUUGGUGCUCAUGCUUGUGAUGAUUGUGAGAGAGUUAGCACAACUACAGUUCCCAAGUAACAUAAUUCAAGUUGCAGUUCAAGCCCUAGCACAUAUGCAGAAGGUGUGCAGCUUCGUGUAUUUAGUCAAUUCAUAAACCAGCCCUAGGCACAUAUGCAUAUGGUGUGCAGCUUCCAAGACAUAAUUAUUAUUGCAUAAAUCCCAGCAUAGAUCAUAUAAGUCAUGGUUUUGCCCAAGUAAAGAAGUAGAAUAUUUCCCAAAUCCCUAUCAUGCUUGCAUGUUCCCAUAAAAUACCCUAGGAUCAUGAUUUUACCUAGUGAUAAAGCAUAAUACUCCCCCAACAUGCUCAUAUGCUUCCACGAGAUAAAGUUCAGCGAAGUACCUGAAUUACCACUUACAAGUGGUUUACCGUUUUCAUGUUAUGGCGGUUCCCAUGUUUUGUUCGAAGCUUUCCCAAAUUUAAUUGCCCUGUGCUACAAGAUCUCUUAGGCACAGACAUUAGUAUAAAUAUGAAAGCCCCUUUAAGACAGGGCUGCAAAGAGAAUUCGAACCCUAGAUUAUGUAACCCAUUGCCACAACUUGAUUCCCAUAUUCAUACACCGAUGAAUUCAUUCAAAUUUUCAAAUCCCAUCAAAGAUCAUAUAAAUCAUGAUUUUUUCGAAGUGACAAAGAAUAAUAUAUCCCAAUCAGGUUCACAUGUUUUGACAAGAUCCUGCAAUGAUAAAGUAUAGUUUUGCGAAGUACCUGAAUCCCCACUAGUUAGUGGGUUACCUUUCUAUGUUAUGAUGUUUAUCAUAUUUGUACGAGUCUUUCCCAAAACCUGUGUUUCCUGUACGAAAUAGUAGAGUAGGAGCCCUGCCCUUUUUGCUAAUUAAUAACCAUGUAACAAUAGAUGAUUGGUUAACCUAAUAAUCAACUAAAUUGGGUCAUUACUGAUGCAUCGUGAUUUGGAAACCAAUUAUAAAUUUUUUCAACAAAGAAAACUCCACUCAUUUGAGAAUGUAAGAAAUGAGCAUCAUCGAUGCUAGUUAUCAAGUGUCUACAUGGUAAGCUAGUUAUUGAUGAUAUCCUUAUUUUCAAAUGAGCAUUAUCUUCAUAUCACAUAACAUAUGCGAAAAACAGCUCCAUCUAGGCUAUCGUGAAAUUAAUAGAGUUAGCAAUUGCGUAGCGGCACGUUGACAUAGGCAGCUCAAACAAGAUCAAAAUAACGAGGCAACUGCACUGUUUUGCCAUUCCACCCCUGCAACAGAGACAUUCCAACCUAGUGAAAAUGCUCUUCUCAGGUUUUGCUGCCCAUACUUUUUCAUCUCAGCUAGUCUAUUGCGAAUGUGGCAAACACCGAUAAUUUAACCACUGCAUUGCCAGAUUUUCCCCUAUCACAAAGCAAAGCAACUCAUCAACUGUUAUUACAUAAACCAUAUUUGAUUUACGAGGUUCCCAACUAUAAUUUCCCAUGAACAAGAAUGGAGACUUAAGACAAACUAGUUGUUGCAUAAAUUUUAAGGAAUCAGUCCAGCCAAUGAGCUAACAAAGCUAUGUCAAGAAUUUAGUUAACCAAAACUUAAAUAUCCCAACAACCUCAUCACCUCGGUACUUUUCAAUGAUAGAAUGAUUCAUGCUCGAAUAUAUUCCAUUGUAGUUAGAACCAAAAGCCAUGAAGACUUCCCCCACACAACAACAUGAAUCAAAUACCAACACGAAACACCCAAACAUGCAGAUUUUGUAAACAAACAAAAAGGAGUCGAACUAUACUAGCUUAGAAAAGAUUUGACUUAGCUUAUGUCGGAGGAGGGUCGACUGCCCUGUUUAGUCGAGCCCGAGGGAACGUCGACGACGAGCUCUUGCAGUCCCGCUGGCACCCGAGUAUAGCAGCAAGGCAGCUUAUCUUGCCUCCUUGCUUGACCCCGCUUCCAGCACUUAUCCCCAAAAUUCUUCAAGAACCAAACUCUGUUCGUGAUGAAUCCCCUCCAAGUGGAAAUAAACAAAUACAGCAACCACUGCCUCACUUCACAGAGCGUCCCUAUAUCAGCGUCGCCUUCUGAGUACUUUGUCGGGCUACAAUCGUUUAAUAUGUAAUUCCUUUAGGAAAUCAAGCGAAAUCAAAGAGACUGUAAGCAACAUGAAUAAAAUGAUUGAAAGAAAUAAGCCCUCCAUCAAAUUGAUUGAGAUGAGCUGUCAUAAAUGGAAGUCUUCCCUAUUAGAUUGAAUUAAACUGCAUCUGCUCCUUUCGGUUGUCGCUGCUCUGGUAUAAUUACACCACCUGCAGAUCAGUCAUGGGUUCAACAUGUGCAAAGAUUUAUCUCCAGACUUGUGAUGCUAGGCUGCAGGCGUUAGAUUUCCCCUCAACGUAUUCCAUCCAUGUCUCUCUCCCCUCGAUUCCAGUAAGGCUUUAUUCCCCAACCGCAAGGCGGCUAUCGGUCGUGGCUUUUGAUCUGCGACUGCGACUACAUCGUGAGAGAUGAGAGAAUGGCGUGACUGAAGAGGUUAGAUCGAGCUUCGCGCGACUGCGGAGGAAUGAUAAUUCAUCAGCUGCGGAGGUGAUUUGGAGAUAGAUGUUGCAUGAUUUGGUGCUUCUGGAUUUCUACGAGAAUGAGAAUAAUUAAUCAGUAGAGAUAAAACGUUAAAUGAGAAAAAUAGAGAAAGGGUUAUGGCUGCGGGAGCUUCUCCCUAGAACUGCGUCGGAAUUCAGAUUUGCGGCAAUCGUUAGUAGUAGAGGCGGAUCUCCGCCGCCGGAUGUUCAGAUCCAGGGGCCAACGGCUAUAGCACCGAAUCUGGCCUCAAGCAGAGAGGGUUGAGGGCGGCGAAGAGGCGCUAAUCGCUGACUCAGAUGAGGUGUCCCGAAGCUGGUUGACCCAGAUAGAGGGAUGCUGACUUCGAUCUGGAAUUAGGAUGAAGAAGGCUGGAUCUGUGCCCGGCGGCGGCAUACGCUGGAGUCCUGAGGUGGCAACGGCUGCCGGAGAAUUAUGGAGAAGAGAGAUGGGCGACCAUUGUCGCCGGAAAUUGGAAAAACAGAAGCACAUAAAAUCCCAAUCUGGAAAAUGGAAACCCCUCGUCGGAAUCUAGGGACCUGAACAUAAGCCCCCCAUUGUCGCCAAAAUCGAAGAAAAUUGCCGGAAGGAAAAGGAGGAAUCUCGCCGGAAAUUUUUUGCCCAGAAAAGUGAGAAAGCUUGCUCCAAUUUUUCAAUUAUUUUUGGAUGAACAGUAAUCUAGCCUCAAUAAACAGUAACCCACGUCCCUAAUUCCCCCAAUUUCUCUCCGAUGAACAGUGAUCGGUGAUGAACAGUACUUCGAUGAACAGUGAAUCUCACGCCUUAGCUCGAUUUUCCCACAGAUGGCGCCAGUUGGUGAAACGAGAAACCAACACCUAAACUAAAAAGCAGUAAACGACACC